GCCUCUCAUAAUGAUCAAAUAAUAACUUUCGUUCUUUCAAGUUGUCUGUGUAGAAAAUUAAUUGAGACCUAAACUGAAGAGGC